rnacentral:rRNA from 1 species
CCUACGUGAGGCAGCAGUGAGGAAUAUUGGUCAAUGGGCGUAAGCCUGAACCAGCCAAGUCGCGUGAGGGAUGAAGGUUCUAUGGAUCGUAAACCUCUUUUAUAAGGGAAUAAAGUGUGGGACGUGUCCUGCUUUGUAUGUACCUUAUGAAUAAGGAUCGGCUAACUCCGUGCCAGCAGCCGCGGUAAUACGGAGGAUCCGAGAGUUAUCCGGAUUUAUUGGGUUUAAAGGGUGCGUAGGCGGCCGUUUAAGUCAGCGGUGAAAGUCUGUGGCUCAACCAUGGAAUUGCCGUUGAAACUGGGAGGUGUGAUUAUGUUUGAGGCAGGCGGAAUGCGUGGGGUAGCGGUGAAAUGCUUAGAUAUCACGCAGAACCCCGAUUGCGAAGGCAGCCUGCCAAGCCAUGACUGACGCUGAUGCACGAAAGCGUGGGGAUCAAACAGGAUUAGAUACCCCUGUAGUC